AUAGGGUCAAGCGACUAAGUGCAUCUGGUGGAUGCCUUGGCGAUCAUAGGCGAUGAAGGACGUGUAAGCCUGCGAAAAGCGCGGGGGAGCUGGCAAUAGAGCUUUGAUCCCGCGAUGUCCGAAUGGGGAAACCCGGCCCUUAGGGGUCAUCCCAGACUGAAUCCAUAGGUCUGUGGAGGCGAACUCAGCGAACUGAAACAUCUAAGUAGCUGAAGGAAAAGAAAUCAACCGAGAUUCCGUAAGUAGUGGCGAGCGAACGCGGAACAGCCUGACUGUGUUAUGAGUUGUGCUAGUGGAAUGGAAUGGAAAGUCCAACCGUAGUGGGUGAUAGUCCCGUACACGAAAGCGCAUCGCAAGAACUAGGCAGUCGAGAAGUAGGGCGGGACACGAGAAAUCCUGUCUGAAGAUGGGGGGACCAUCCUCCAAGGCUAAAUACUCAUGAUCGACCGAUAGUGAACCAGUACCGUGAGGGAAAGGCGAAAAGAACCCCGGGAGGGGAGUGAAAUAGAACCUGAAACCGGAUGCAUACAAACAGUGGGAGCCCUUGAAAAAUGGGGUGACUGCGUACCUUUUGUAUAAUGGGUCAGCGACUUACGUUCAGUAGCGAGCUUAACCGAAUAGGGGAGGCGUAGGGAAACCGAGUCCGAAUAGGGCGCUUUAGUUGCUGGGCGUAGACCCGAAACCGAGUGAUCUAUCCAUGGCCAGGAUGAAGGUGCGGUAACACGCACUGGAGGUCCGAACCCACUAGUGUUGCAAAACUAGGGGAUGAGCUGUGGAUAGGGGUGAAAGGCUAAACAAACUCGGAGAUAGCUGGUUCUCCCCGAAAACUAUUUAGGUAGUGCGUCAUGUAUCACUUCCGGGGGUAAAGCACUGUUAUGGCUAGGGGGUCAUUGCGAUUUACCAAACCAUGGCAAACUCUGAAUACCGGAAAGUGCGAGCAUGGCAGACAGACAGUGGGUGCUAACGUCCAUUGUCAAGAGGGAAACAACCCAGACCGCCAGCUAAGGUCCCAAAUGAUCAGUUAAGUGGUAAACGAAGUGGGAAGGCCUAGACAGCCAGGAUGUUGGCUUAGAAGCAGCCAUCAUUUAAAGAAAGCGUAAUAGCUCACUGGUCGAGUCGUCCUGCGCGGAAGAUGUAACGGGGCUCAAACUGAUAACCGAAGCUGCGGAUUUGCGCGUAAGCGCAGAUGGUAGGGGAGCGUUCUGUAGGUCUGUGAAGGUGUCUCGUAAGGGAUGCUGGAGAUAUCAGAAGUGCGAAUGCUGACAUGAGUAGCGAUAAAGCGGGUGAAAAGCCCGCUCGCCGAAAGCCCAAGGUUUCCUACGCAACGUUCAUCGGCGUAGGGUGAGUCGGCCCCUAAGGCGAGGCUGAAAAGCGUAGUCGAUGGGAAACGGGUUAAAAUUCCCGUACUUUUGUGCAGUGCGAUGUGGGGACGGAGAAGGUUAGGUCAGCAGACUGUUGGAAUAGUCUGUUCAAGCCGGUAGGCGUGAAGGGUAGGCAAAUCCGCUCUUCUUUAACGCCGAGACGUGAUAACGAGGGUCUACGGACCUGAAGUGACUGAUACCACGCUUCCAGGAAAAGCCACUAAGCUUCAGCUGCACAAGAACCGUACCGCAAACCGACACAGGUGGGCAGGAUGAGAAUUCUAAGGCGCUUGAGAGAACUCAGGAGAAGGAACUCGGCAAAUUGAUACCGUAACUUCGGGAGAAGGUAUGCCUGUUGGGGUGUAGUGAUUUACUCACGAAGCUCUGACAGGUCGCAGAGAAUCGGUGGCUGCGACUGUUUAACAAAAACACAGCACUG
rnacentral:rRNA from 1 species